AGCCAGCAGCCGCGGUAAUACGAAGGACCCAAGCGUUAUCCGGAUUCAUUGGGUUUAAAGGGUGCGUAGGCGGAUUAAAAAGUCAGUGGUGAAAGCCCAACGCUUAACGUUGGAACUGCCAUUGAUACUCUUGAUCUUGAAUGUGUUUGAUGUGGGCGGAAUAUGACAUGUAGCGGUGAAAUGCUUAGAUAUGUCAUAGAACACCGAUUGCGAAGGCAGCUCACAAAGCCACUAUUGACGCUGAGGCACGAAAGCGUGGGGAUCAAACAGGAUUAGAUACCCUGGUAGUCCACGCCGUAAACUUUGAUCACUCGCUGUUGGCGAUACACUGUCAGCGGCUAAGCGAAAGCGUUAAGUGAUCCACCUGGGGAGUACGAUCGCAAGAUUGAAACUCAAAGGAAUUGACGGGGGCCCGCACAAGC
rnacentral:rRNA from 1 species